rnacentral:rRNA from 1 species
UACAGAGGGUGCAAGCGUUGCUCGGAAUCAUUGGGCGUAAAGGGCAGGUAGGUGGUCUCGUUUGUCUGGGGUGAAAGCCCAGGGCUUAACCCUGGAGUGCCCCGGAACGGCGAGACUAGAGUCUUGGAGAGGGUCGUGGAAUUCCCGGUGUAGCGGUGAAAUGCGUAGAGAUCGGGAGGAACACCAGAGGCGAAGGCGGCAACCUGGACAAGUACUGACACUCAACUGCGAAAGGCGUGGGGAGCAAACAGG